rnacentral:rRNA from 1 species
AUUGAACGCUGGCGGACUGCUUUACACAUGCAAGUCGAACGGCAGCACGGACUUCGGUCUGGUGGCGAGUGGCGAACGGGUGAGUAAUGUAUCGGAACGUGCCCCGCCGUGGGGGAUAACGUAGUGAAAAUUACGCUAAUACCGCAUACGAUCUAUGGAUGAAAGCGGGGGAUCGCAAGACCUCGCGCGAAUGGAGCGGCCGAUAUCAGAAUAGGUAGUUGGUCGGGUAAAGGCCCACCAAGCCAACGAUCUGUAGCUGGUCUGAGAGGACGACCAGCCACACUGGAACUGAGACACGGUACAGACUCCUACGGGAGGCAACAGUGGGGAAUUUUGGACAAUGGGCGAAAGCCUGAUCCAGCCAUUCCGCGUGCAGGAUGAAGGCCCUCGGGUUGUAAACUGCUUUUGUACAGAACGAAAAGGUUUCUACUAAUACUAGGAGCUCAUGACGGUACUGUAAGAAUAAGCACCGGCUAACUACGUGCCAGCCGCCGCCGUAA